AUGAUAUAUGGCCCUCCAUAUUCCAGGGGGCGCUGUAGAGCCCCUGUGCCACGCCCGUGUAUCAGUCUCUGCCCGGACCUAAUGGCCGCAGGUUCCAAUGUGUGUGCCAAUUUUCAAGAGUUUUCGAGUAUGUUAAGGGCCCCAAAAGCCCCCGAGACGUUGGAAAAAAAUAAUAAUAAUAAAUAUAGCUGCAAGCAGCGAUGGCGGGCUCAAGCCAUCAGCGCAAACGCCACCCCGGUGGCAUCAGGUAAACUGUGCCCAGCGGGCACAUGCAUUUACAGUAAUCCUCUGGGCACAUGCAUUUACAGUAAUCCUCUGGCACUCAGGUUUUAAGGGAUACGGCAAUUAACGGGUUAAUCUGAAGCAUCAAGACUUUGAAAUCACAUACACAGAACAAUAUUCAUUAAGAAAGUGAAAUUAAAUGAUUAAUAAACUAUUUAUUCGAACCCUUGCUAUUUUCUAUUCUAAUAAGAGUCUUGGCUGUGGAACACCUAUAAUAGAGUUGGCUAGCUGGAUGCAAAUAAAGGCAUGCCUUUUAUUUGUUCCCCUGUUUGCUAUUUCACAUUCCUGUCACUGAAGCGUUGUGGCCAAAGACACAGAAGGUAACUGAAACAAUGUGGUUUAAGUCAAGGUGAUUAUUAGGGGUCCUAGCACAUUGGUUUGUGUAGAUGAUGCAGUUAAACAAUGGACGUGUCUCUUUUCAAGUAAAUUAUUAUACGCACAACAUGAAAAAUAGAUAACAAAUAUAGUGUCCCUUCUUCACUUUUUCAGUAAUGCGUGAUAACUUGAGAAAUAUGUUGUCAAUACUAUUAAAAUAAGAUAAAAACGUAAUGGUAUUUCGGAGAUGAUAGUUUUUGCAUAAUUACUAUAUUGGGCUUUAUUAAAGUUUAUGAAAAAAGAAUGAAUGUAUAUGCAUUUUUGAUUUAUUUACAUGAAUGAAACAUUUUCAAGUCUUUGAACAGAUCUUGAAGUAUUUGCUGUCCUGUGGCGCCAUCGAGUGGACAACAUUAGCAUUGUGCCCUUCAUUUCUGAACAACAUUAUGAAAGGGGCCAAUAUUUUUUGAUUGAUUAUAAAUAUUUAAUGAUUAGUUUACUGAUAAUAUACCCACAUUAAAAUCGAAUUUACUGAUUCUGUAUCUUAUUUCAUGCUUAAUCAUGAGUUUAAUUCUCAACUUACAUUUUUAAGCAGUGUUGAAUGAUUACUAUGUGAGUUGCUAAAUUUGUUUUGUUUUUACAAUUAUAAUACAUAAACUAUAUAAUGAUGAAAAAUACAACAGUUAUUGUUUUCAUAAUAUUUACUAUUGACAAUCGUUAUUCUGUAUUGUAAAGAAGAAGGUUUUUUUAUGACAACAAAAAUGGUCAUUACUAAAAAAAUUAAACACUAAUUUAAUUCAUAGUUUUUAUUUUUUUCUAUAGGUUAAGCACCUUUUUCGUAAAUAUGGCUGUUUCCCAGUUUUUAUUUAUGUUUGUUUGUUUGUUUUUUUUUUUGUUUUUUUUUUUAGGAUUUACAUUUAAAAAAAAUGAGCCUACUUCAAACAUUUUAAGCAGCUUGAACAAAACCUGUUAAUAUUUAUUAUAGACCACUGUAACUGUCUAUUAUCUAAAAAAAACAAAUUUAUUAUGAAAAUAAAAAGUGUGUACACCAGUUAAACUGGAUGAUAAAGAAAUUGCUAACAAUAGUUUAAUAGAGCAUGUUUUAGGUUUAUAGGUGUUUAGAGGCAGAAAUUUAAUUUAAUUAAAUAUAGAUUAAUUCUUGUUAGAGCAAAAAAAAAAAAUAAUAAUAAUAAUAAUAAUAAUAAAUACAUGAAUACAUACAAAAAAAGCAGCCAAGACGAAUGAUUUUCUGUUUUUAUAGAUUAAAAUUAAAGACAGAAAGCAGCUGGUAAAUGCAGUCACUUUAAUAUUCAAAUCCAGUAUCAUGAUACACUUCAGAUUUAUUUCUCAACUGUUUAUGUUCACGUGACUGUUUUCGUUUAUAUUCGCCAAGCUAUUAUGUAUUUUUAAAUAACCUUGUUCUUGAUUUGUUCGUUCUUGACAGAAUCAGCGUCCUCUGGAGCUCGAGAGAUCGAUGUUAUUCUGCCCUUAGACAGUCUCGCGCUGUCAAAUAGUCUUUAAAUUUUCACAAUCAAACAGCUCACAAAUAACUGAAUUUAGCUCUUGUUGUGUUCUAUUGGGUGGAUUGUGUGCAUUCGCGGUAAUAUUUUAUUUUAAAAAGCUCUUAAAACUAUAAAAAUGCUUUAAUUGUGAGCUCGUGAGACUGCACGCGCUGAUGCAGCGGUGAUUUCUCUCUGGUCUUUCUCACUGAUCUCCGGCCAGAAAUCAAUUAUUAAUGAGAUCUGAGCAGGUAAUAAUAACAUAUGUUGGUUCAGCUUGUCAGUGUGUAUUAAAUGUGUAUUUAUUUGUCCGUUCUCGCCGAAAAACCAUCACCGUGUUCUGGAGCGCAGAGCAAUCGAUGUGAUGUUCAGCCCUUAGACAAAGAAAAUCUCACAAGCACUCAUAAACACUCAUUUUCAUCUCUAUAAUAUGUUCUUCUAAUUGUUUUUGUGUUAAUUCGCCGCUGUGUUUUUAAUGUAAAAGGCUGUAGUUUCUGUAUGUAGACUUUUUUUCCCUUCAAGUGUUCAGAAGUCUCGCGCUGUCAGACAGGCUGCAGCAAAUAUUUCAUUUUAACACUCACAAACAUCUGAAUUUAGCUCUUGGUGUGUUCUAAUUGGUGGAUUGUGUGCAAUCGCCGUAAUAUUUUAUUUUUAAAAGGUCUUAAACAAGAAUAAACUCGUUUGUUGUGAGCUCGUUGAGACUGCACGCGCUGUUCGGAGCAGUGUUUUAUCUCUCGUCUAUCUGUCUGUUCUCUGGCCAUACAUCAAUUAUUAAUAAGCCCUGACCCGCUAAUAAUAAGAUAUGUUGGUUUAGCUUGUCAGUGUGAAUUAAAUUGAUUUAUUUAGUUGUAUUUUUAACCGAUUUAAAAGUGAAACUAAGCGAGACUCCUCCCUCUCAGUCCCGGGAAUUGCUCCUGUAGAGGCGCAUUUUCUCUCAGACAAUGAAAGUCUCAGCACACAUACACUCCUCACACAGAGCCAAAAAUCCAUAUUCAAAUCAAAAUAGCCGACUUCCUGUUGGUCGUAGCUAAUGACUGUAAAUUAGAAAGUUGUCCGUCUUAAUAAGAACAAUAUAUGUACCGAGUUUGGUGUCUGUAGCUAAAACUAAGCCCCCCACUUUUGACAAAAGGUGGCGCUAUAGAGUGCCUCCUCCACGCCCUUUUAUGACCUUUUGCCAGUGUCUAGCUAUCAUUAAUACUGAUAUGUGUUCUGAGUUUCAUGAAAUUCUAAGCAUGUUAUCUGCCUCAAAUCAGAAUAUAUUAUACAGAAAAAAAUAUUCCAGUUUGAUAUGUUGCCAUGGCAACACUAUAUUAGAUAUCAAUAUCCCC
ensembl:lncRNA